GCCACGGUGGUCUAGCGGUUAGGACACUGGCCUUGUAAUCCUGGGGUCUCGGGUUCGAUUCCCGGCGGUGCCC
rnacentral:tRNA from 1 species